rnacentral:rRNA from 1 species
CGGGGGACUCAAAGGAGACUGCCAGUGACAAGCUGGAGGAAGGUGGGGAUGUCGUCAAGUCAUCAUGGCCCUUACGAGUAGGGCUACACACGUGCUACAAUGGUGCAUACAGAGGGAGGUGAAGUAGCGAUACGGAGCGAAACUCAGAAAGUGCAUCGUAGUCCGGAUUGGAGUCUGCAACUCGACUCCAUGAAGUCGGAAUCGCUAGUAAUCGCGAAUCAGAAUGUCGCGGUGAAUACGUUCCCGGUCCUUGUACACACCGCCCGUCACACCAUGGGAGUGGGUUGUACCAGAAGUAGAUAGCUUAACCUUUAGGAGGGCGUUUACCACGGUAUGAUUCAUGACUGGGGUGAAGUCGUAACAAGGUAACCGUAGGGGAACCUGCGGUUGGAUCACCU